GGAGACCAUGCAGAUAGUGAUUGCGCAGAGCUGAAGAGCUUUGGAAAGGAAAGGCCCAGUCAAUGGUACAGCAAGAAUUAUGCAGAGAAGAGUGAGGAUAUACUAACAGAUGCCGUGAGCAGAUACUUAAGUGGCUUCCGAACGCAGCAAAAUAAAGCUAAUUGUCCUGAAAAGGAAGAGAACUCCACCAUAACUCGUCAUCCAUCCUAACACACUUCAGUCACAGGUUAAGAGAAACAUGCCAGUUUCUCUGACUCCAGACAGAGAGCAAAGAACUCCUACAUGGUCUCCUCGGGUUUACAGAAGUCUGUCCAUCACCCUGUCAGUCUUUCGGAUCAUUAUUCAAGUUGCUAUCCCAAAUUUUGCUAGAUUCUUCAGAUUUACUCCUGCUCCAUAGAUCUUUAUGGGCAGAGAAAAAUAAGUCUUGGUGGUCUGAAGUUCAUGAAGUUUAUCAACUAUCUAAGCAUUUGAUCAAUGAGGACCCACAAACUGGAAAAUUUAAAUAUUUUCCAAAAUGCAAUCAACAAAACCAGUGUGGACUUGUUUAUGCGGUUUACCAUCAUAACCUGUCCUGUAGUCCUUUGUGUUGGGCUGUGUCUGUGAUGAUAGCAACUUAACUUCUUCAUGACAGAAAGCCUUUCCAGAUUAACAGCAUGCAUUCUUCCUACUUUUAAAAACAGCAAAGCAGAAAACUGAUGAAUAGUGUAAGGACCCGCUGAAAAGUAUAUUGUUACGGUGGCAAUAAAAGGAAGAGCAAAUUUCCAAACA